rnacentral:rRNA from 1 species
GAUGAACGCUGGCGGCGUGCUUAACACAUGCAAGUCGAACGAUGAAGCUCAGCUUGCUGGGUGGAUUAGUGGCGAACGGGUGAGUAACACGUGAGUAACCUGCCCUUAACUCUGGGAUAAGCCUGGGAAACUAGGUCUAAUACCGGAUAGGAGCGCCUACCGCAUGGUGGGUGUUGGAAAGAUUUAUCGGUUUUGGAUGGACUCGCGGCCCAUCAGCUUGUUGGUGAGGUAAUGGCUCACCAAGGCGACGACGGGUAGCCGGCCUGAGAGGGUGACCGGCCACACUGGGACUGAGACACGGCCCAGACUCCUACGGGAGGCAGCAGUGGGGAAUAUUGCACAAUGGGCGAAAGCCUGAUGCAGCGACGCCGCGUGAGGGAUGACGGCCUUCGGGUUGUAAACCUCUUUCAGUAGGGAAGAAGCGAAAGUGACGGUACCUGCAGAAGAAGCACCGGCUAACUACGUG